GUAAGAAAAGCAGUGUGUGUGUGUAAGGGUUUGCAUUGUGUGUUUCUGUGUAUGUGUGCAAAGGAUGCAUUGUCUUUGUGUGUAAGGGUUGCAUUGUGUGUGUGUAAUGGAUGCAUUGUGUGUUUAUCUGUGUGUAAGGGAAGCAUGUUGUGUUUCUGUGUGUAUACGGAUGCAUUGUGUGUUUCUGUGUGUGUGUGUGUGUGUGUGUGCGCGUAGUGUGAAAGAGCUCCCUGACUUCC